rnacentral:rRNA from 1 species
GACGAACGCUGGCGGCGUGCUUAACACAUGCAAGUCGAACGGAAAGGCCCUGCUUUUGUGGGGUGCUCGAGUGGCGAACGGGUGAGUAACACGUGAGUAACCUGCCCUUGACUUUGGGAUAACUUCAGGAAACUGGGGCUAAUACCGGAUAGGAGCUCCUGCUGCAUGGUGGGGGUUGGAAAGUUUCGGCGGUUGGGGAUGGACUCGCGGCUUAUCAGCUUGUUGGUGAGGUAGUGGCUUACCAAGGCUUUGACGGGUAGCCGGCCUGAGAGGGUGACCGGCCACAUUGGGACUGCGAUACGGCCCAGACUCCUACGGGAGGCAGCAGUGGGAAAUAUUGCACAAUGGGCGGAAGCCUGAUGCAGCAGCGCCGCGUGCGGGAUGACGGCCUUCGGGUUGUAAACCGCUUUCGCCUGUGACGAAGCGUGAGUGACGGUAAUGGGUAAAGAAGCACCGGCUAACUACGUG